UAUGGCUUUUUAUUCCUAUGUGAUGCUCUUCCUAACUCAUGUAGGGCUAAAAGCCAUGGG
rnacentral:pre_miRNA from 1 species